rnacentral:piRNA from 1 species
UUGAGGAGGUGAUGGAGUCGGA